rnacentral:snoRNA from 1 species
UGAACUUCAGCAUAUAACCUCAGUGUACAACCUCAGCCCAAGCCCUGUGUCUGGUCUGUAUUAUGAAUAGGGGGACAUAG